GAUGAACGCUGGCGGCGUGCCUAAUACAUGCAAGUCGAGCGAACGGACGAGAAGCUUGCUUUUCUGAUGUUAGCGGCGGACGGGGGAGUAACACGUGGAUAACCUACCUAUAAGACUGGGAUAACUUCGGCAAACCGGAGCUAAUACCGGAUAAUAUUUUGAACCGCAUGGUUCAAAAGUGAAAGACGGUCUUGCUGUCACUUAUAGAUGGAUCCGCGCUGCAUUAGCUAGUUGGUAAGGUAACGGCUUACCAAGGCAACGAUGCAUAGCCGACCUGAGAGGGUGAUCGGCCACACUGGAACUGAGACACGGUCCAGACUCCUACGGGAGGCAGCAGUAGGGAAUCUUCCGCAAUGGGCGAAAGCCUGACGGAGCAACGCCGCGUGAGUGAUGAAGGUCUUCGGAUCGUAAAACUCUGUUAUUAGGGAAGAACAUAUGUGUAAGUAACUGUGCACAUCUUGACGGUACCUAAUCAGAAAGCCACGGCUAACUACGUG
rnacentral:rRNA from 1 species